AUAACGAAGAUCUGUAGACCAAAGUCUCAAAUUCAAAGAGAUAUUCUUUAUAAAAGUUAAGAGUCAACCACGCCGACCUAAGACAGCUCAUUCUAAUAUGCCCCCACAUGUCUACGUCACAAUGUGAGAAGAUUUGCAUUACGCCGCCCAAAUGUUCACGCAAAGAAAGAAGGCAUAACUUUUAUUCUUGCUGUUGCCACUGCUACCAUGUCAUGGAGAUGCUGUGUGUUUCAUUGUGAAAGCGAAACUACUUUGUUUGGCCUUCCAAAAGAGGACACAACUAGAAAUCAGUGGUUAAGUUGUAUUUACAACACUGUUCCAGAACAGUUCAACCCAAAUAUGCAGAUGUGUGCAGUGCAUUUUAUGGAGGAUUGUUUCCUGAUCCUGGGAGAGAAGACUACAGUGCUGGCUGUUCUGACUCACAGUCUGUAAGUACGCUUACAUAUGUAACGGAUUUACCACUGAUGAUUCAGACGCGAGUUUUGAGCAGUGUAGAGUAAAGCUUGUUUGUCGUUCACAAAUGCAGACAUGGUUUUAUGUUAAGUGGCCCGAUGCAACGCAAAGCGUAAAAAGACAGUAUACUUCAGCAGUUCUCUAUUCCAGUCCUGGUGCCCCUCUGCUCUGCAUAUUUUGUAUGUUUCUCUUAUCGCUUCAGACGAUUGUUCUAUACAAACGUAAGUGCCCUGCGAAGUGGACAUCACAAGAUAUUCCGCCAUGAUUCCAGUUCAAAGCAAAUGUAUAUGUUCCAUUCAAAGUGCAUUGACGUGAGCAAGAUGUGAAUUUAAAUUGUAUUUAUUUAUGAUGUCACACUUCUCCGUGUGUGAAGACUAUGUGGAGCGCAAAUCCGUGAAUGAAUGUUCCGAAGUGAAGUAAACUUCAACAGCUUUCCCCUGCUCAGGGAGUAGGGAGCAAUGAACACAGUGAGGGACCAUGUCAAUGGGAACACAGAACACAGUUCAUGCACAAAGCUCACUUCUAACGUGCUGUUUAUCUGAAUCAGGUCUCUUGGUAGCCUCUCUGACCAGUUUCCUCCUGACUCUUUCAUCCAGUUUGGAGGGACGUCCUGAUCCAGGGAGGGUCUGUGUUCUACCAAAUACUUUCCACUUCUUAAUAAUAGACUUCAAUGUGCUUCUAGGCAAUGAUAAAGGUUUUUAUUUUUAUUUUUAUUUUUUUUAUUUUUAUUUUUUUUUAUCCAUCUCCUGACUUGUGCCUGUCCACAACAUUAUCCUGGAUAUUUUUUGACAGUGCCUUGCCACCCAGGACUGAAAUGUUUCAGUAAAGCUCUUUUCAUGCAGAGCUAAUCAAAAUGACCACAGCUGAUCACAGAUGAGAGUCAUUUUUAGGAGGUGGUGAUUUAUUAUUAUUAUUAUUAUUAUUAUUAUUAUUAUUAUUAUUAUUAUUAUUAGUAUUAUUAUUAUUAUUAUCAUUAAUUAAUUAAUUUAUUUAUUUAUGACAUGUUCGAUAUUAUAAGACUAAGUACAGCUGGAUGAAACAAAAACUGUGUCCGUCUUCAUUUCAGGCAAAAAUACAAUAAAAUGUGAUUAUUUUAAAGGGGGUGAUUCUUUUCUAUACCCACUGUAUAUUUUUAGUAAUUUUGACUUUUUUUAUUAGGUUUUUUAUAUUUAUUUUUUAGCUUUAUUUUUUACUAACUUUAGUGCUUCUGCUUGUAUAAGUUCAUUUCAUUAUUAUUAUUUAGUUUUUCAUCUGUUAUGUAUGCAUUUUAUUUCAGCUUUAUUAUAAUUACUGAAAACAAUAGUUUUAGUUUUAAAUAACAACACUGCUUUAUAUGUAGCUUGAUAUGAUACAGAUUAACAUAGCUGAACAUGUGGCUGUUGAUAUAGCAAAUCCUCUUAUGACAUAAACAUGCAGCUGUGCAUGAGUUCUGAUCCAUUAAUAAGUUAAUCUUGUGGAAGCUUUACCUGACUAGUGAAAAGACAAGUUUUGAAUAGCAAAAUCCUUGGUUUUGGACUGAUCAUCAUCUGCAUUUAAAAGCUCUUGCUAUACUCUGUUAGUCUGUUUGUGUCUGUAAAUAAAAGAGAAGUCAGAUGUACACUAUUGUCAGGACUGCUUCUUGACGUUUGACAAAAGUCAAAGUCUUCCUUUCUUAUCUUGCCUCAUAUUCCUUGCCAGAACAAUGAUAUAGCCUAUGUGUAUAAAGAAGUCACAUAAUAUUGUUUAUAUUGUUUUCCUACUUCUCCAAAUAGGGAAAUCUCAUAAUUCAAAUGCACAAGUCUUUUAAAUUAUUCUAUUGCUUGACUGCAGCCCAAGCAAAUUUAGCAUGCAAUUAGAGAGAAUAAGGGAGUAGUUUGGUGUUUUUCUGCCUGCUAAACAAAAUGUUGUCAUCUAGAGAAUUAAAAUGCAAAAUAUUAAAAGUUAAUAAAAACAAUCAUCAUUAUAGGAACUAUAUUUCUUCAGAGAGUGUCUAAAGGCAUAAUCACAUCUCUUUCGACUUGACUAAACAGCUUUUGCUGUGGCCUCAAAUAUAACAGCAAUCAUAACAUUUUGAUUUUAUUAUACCUUUAUUUGACAUUUAAUGUGCCUUAAUUGCUUAAAAUAAAAAGGCUUUCUCUUAAGGAUACUGCUUUGAUCCGUCCAUAAAGUAAUAAUCUAUUAUGGAUAUAUCCAAUGUUAUAGAUCAGCCUACCCACUGCUGUUCUACAGAGGAUAUGUUGGUUAAUCAGCCAUCCAGGAAAUACAGGUGAAAGAGCUGUGCCAGGCUUGGCUUUAGUCCAGACAUGCUCUGGCAAGGCUCUUGAGCACCCAGAGAGUCAAGUCUUAUCUGUAGGAGGGUCAAGCAUUUCAAGAGCUUGAUUUUUCUCGUAGCUGAGUGACACAAACAACACUGCUUACAGGAGCACUCAGCCUCACAACAGCUCCCACAUCAACACCCUGGACCAUAUGCUGGUCUGUACUCAAAUAAUCCCAACACACCUCUUCUGCUUGCUGUUACUUAUUAGACUGAGAGCCCAAUGUAUCACCUGGGAUGGAAAUUGAGAUUCUGCUUGUUUACUGUGGGACAUUAUAUUACAAUUCCUCAUUAGACUGGAUUUAUUUAUUUAAAGGCUCACUUAUUGUCAUUUUUUUGUACACUGAUAAAGAAAAGUAGCUCAUCAUUAUUGUGUACCUUGUGCUGCUCCUGGCUGUGCUUUAUCUGCUUUAUUCUUCUGAAGGUUGGCAGAGGUAGAAAUGAGUGUCCGAAGUUUAUUUUUUACAAUCAUUUUGGUCUAACCUUCACAGUAUGUGUAACCUGUUUCAGAGCGUGUUGUUUUGUGAACCUGUCAAAAUGUAAUUCAAGCUUUGCAAAGAGGCUGUUAUUGAAGGACUGUGUAGUUAGAAACUACAUUGGACUUGAAGGCAGCCUGCAAAAAAUGCCCUUUCAGUGUAUUUUACUUUAUGGCUUAUAUAUUUUAUAUAGCACUAUAGCCAGAACACCACAAACAGAGUAUGAAAAUUGUUGGGACUGAAUCCAAGAAUGUAAAUUUUAUUGAUACGUGUUGAGACAGAGAAACAGAAGAUAAACAAAAUGCUGCAUUUCAAGGGGUAAACAAACUUCCUUCAAGCUGCACUGAGGUGCUAUUAUAAAGUCUGAGAGCACUGGGAUGAAUAAGCCAGAAUCACAUAAACAAAGAAUUACUAAGUGUAUGCACAUAUUGAUCAGAUGCUUUCAUUCUGUUCAAAUUGGUGUUUUUAGAAAUAUCUUGAUGUAAUACAUGCAAGUUACAAAUUUUUCAAACAUCUAUUAGCUCCACAACAACAUCACUAAAUGCAAUACCAUUGAAAAGUUUGGGGUUUGGAAUUAUUUAGUUUUAUUUAGCAGGAUGCGUGAUUAAAUCGAUCUAAAGUCACUGUAAAGAAAAUAACUUUCUAUUCAUCAAAGAAUCCUGAAAUUAGGCAGCACAACUGUUUUCAACUUUGAUAAAUAUGAAAUGUUUCUUGAGCAAAAUUGUAAAGUAAAUUGUAGUAGUAUCAUACUGCUUUUACUGCAUUUUUGAUGCAGCCUUAGUGAGCCUGAGACAUCUCUCAGAAACAUAAAAUAAUAAUAAUAAUAAUAAUAAAUAAAUAAU
ensembl:lncRNA